ACUCACGGCAGGCCACGUCACUU
rnacentral:misc_RNA from 1 species